rfam:Puccinia triticina 1-1 BBBD Race 1 supercont2.232, whole genome shotgun sequence.
GGGGCUCUAGCUCAUAUGGUAGAGCGUUCGCUUCGCAUUCAUGCGACCCUGGAUCUGCGAGAGGCACAGGGUUCGAUUCCCUGGUGCUCCA